GUAGGUGGCAAGCGUUGUCCGGAAUUAUUGGGCGUAAAGCGCGCGCAGGCGGUCCUUUAAGUCUGAUGUGAAAGCCCACGGCUCAACCGUGGAGGGUCAUUGGAAACUGGGGGACUUGAGUACAGAAGAGGAAAGCGGAAUUCCAAGUGUAGCGGUGAAAUGCGUAGAGAUUUGGAGGAACACCAGUGGCGAAGGCGGCUUUCUGGUCUGUAACUGACGCUGAGGCGCGAAAGCGUGGGGAGCAAACAGGAUUAGAUACCCUGGUAGUCCACGCCGUAAACGAUGAGUGCUAAGUGUUAGGGGGUUUCCCGCCCCCCUUAGUGCUGCAGCUAACGCAUUAAGCACUCCGCUGGGGAGUACGGCCGCAAGGCUG
rnacentral:rRNA from 1 species